GCGUCACGUCACGGCUAUUGUGGCUGUCCCGGUAUAUAAGGUCCCGCCGGCCGGCCGCGCUCCCCACCUUGCCUGCGCCCGCCCGGAGCCACCGGUUCUCCACUCACCCCACAUCAGUGAGACGCGCCGCGCACCGACGCCGACGGAGCGGACAUGGGCAGAGCGAUGGUGGCCAGGCUCGGACUGGGGCUGCUGCUUCUGGCGCUGCUCCUACCCACGCAGAUUUAUUCAAAUCAAACAGCUGUUGUAACACUUUCAAGUAACUCCUCCUCCCAGAGUACCUCAACUGCCCCAAAUCCAGCUAAUACCACCACCACACCAUCUGGCGGAGCUCUGCAGUCAUCAGCCAGUCUCUUCGUGAUCUCGUUCUCCCUUCUACAUCUCUACUGUUAAAAGACUCAGGCCAAGAAACAUCUAUACUUCCCCAUCUUCUAAACCCAAUCCAAAUGGCGUCAGAUAUCCAGUGUGACAAGGAAAAAACAGGUCUUCAUUGAAUCUGCUAAUUCCACACCUUAUUUUAUUGACACAGAAAAUGUUGAGGAUCCCAAAUUUGAUUGGUUUGAAGAACAUGUGAAGGGUUUGACUAGAUGAUGAAUGUCUAUUAAAUCUACUGGAGUUUCAUGUACAAGAUGAAGAGACAGCAUCCAAGAUUAGUUUUAAGAGAUAACUUCUUUAAAUGUGGCCUAGGAAGUAUGGACAUGUAAAAUCCUAUCUUGAAAAUGAGAAUAGAUUUUAUCUUACCUAGAUGUGAAAGAUGGGAUGUGAACAGAUUCAGUUUUCAUUUGGUUCAUUAAAUCUUUAAGGCCAUAAAACAGUUAAUACAAAAAGCUUCCAUGAUUCUAUUUAUAUGUACAUUAGAAGGAACUUCCAGGUGUUACUGUAAAUCCUCAAUGCAUUGUUUCAGCAGUACUAACUUAAUGCCUGUGUACUCUAGAUAAAAGUUUUACCUUGUUAAGCUAUCACUGUUUCUUGGGAACUGAACUUUCCUCUGAGGCUUUGGAUUUGACAUUGCAUUUGAUUUUUUUUAAUAUAGUAAUUGACAUGUGCCAGGGCAAUGAUGGAUUGGAAUCUACCCCCAAUUGAAGCAUAAUGAAUAAAUUUUGCUUAUAUACUGAUUACUUACUCCUAUUCAAUAAGAGUGCCAGAUUCAUUUAGCUAAACUGAUUCCAAAGAGUAGAAGAUCAUUGACCUCUGCUAAUUUCAAAAUGCUUUUUAUUUCUGCAUAUGUUGAAUACUUUUUAUAAUUUAAAAGAUCUGUUUUGAAGGUAAAAUUGACAAAUCUUGAAAUUAAAAAGGCAAAAUAUGUGCAGGAGCCAAAACUGUAAAUCAAGUAUUUGGGAAGUGAAGACUGGAAGCUUACAUUAAAUUCGGAAAAACUUUUAUACUCUUUCUGUAAAUACUUUUUUUUUUUUUUAACUCUGAACCAGAAUAGCCACAUUUGGAACACUUUCUGUUAGUCAAUAUUUUUAGAUAGUUAGAACCUGGUCCUAAGCCUAAAGUGGGCUUGAUUCUGGAAAGUAAAUCUUUUUACAACUGCCUCGAUGCACAGAAAGCUUUUUAAAAGUAGACACUCUAAGGUCUUUUGUUCGCAUGGUCACACACUGAUGCUUAGAUGUUCCAGUAUCUAAUAUGGCCACAGUAGUCUUGAUAACCAAAGUCAUUUUUUCCCAUCUUUAGGAACCUACACCAGAACAACCAUACCCAAAAGAUCUCAAGCUACUGUGUGUGUGAAUGAACAUUCCAUUUUGUUCUAUACCUGAAUGCUGUACAUCUAUUUUGGAUUGUAUAUUGUGUUUGUGUAUUUAUGCUUUGAUUCAUAGUAACUUCUCAUGUUAUGGAAUUGAUUUGCAUUGAACACAAACUGUAAAUAAAAGAAAUGGCUGAAAGAGCAA